ACCCAGCUGACGAGUCCCGAGUAGGAUGAAACGCACGUCCUGGAU
rfam:Schistosoma mansoni strain Puerto Rico chromosome 2, complete genome